rnacentral:rRNA from 1 species
UACAGAGGGGGCAAGCGUUAUUCGGAAUUAUUGGGCGUAAAGGGCGCGUAGGCGGCUUGGCAAGUGGAUGGUGAAAUCCCUCGGCUUAACCGAGGAACUGCCGUCCAAACUGCUUCGCUUGAGACCGGGAGAGGUGAGUGGAAUUCCCAGUGUAGCGGUGAAAUGCGCAGAUAUCAGGAAGAACACCCGUGGCGAAGGCGGUUCUCUGGGACGGUACUGACGCUGAGACGCGAAAGCGUGGGGAGCGAACAGG